rnacentral:rRNA from 1 species
UACGGGGGGGGCAAGCGUUGUUCGGAAUUACUGGGCGUAAAGGGUUCGUAGGUGGCCAACUAAGUCAGACGUGAAGUCCUUCAGCUUAACUGGGGAACUGCGUCUGAUACUGGUUGGCUUGAGUGCAGGAGAGGAACGCGGAAUUCCAGGUGUAGCGGUGAAAUGCGUAGAUAUCUGGAGGAACACCGGUGGCGAAGGCGGCGUUCUGGACUGCAACUGACACUGAGGAACGAAAGCCAGGGUAGCAAACGGG